UGGGGUAUAUUGCACAAUGGAGGGAACUCUGAUGCAGCGACGCCGCGUGAACGAAGAAGGCUUUCGAGUCGUAAAGUUCUUUUAUAUGGGAAGAUAAUGACGGUACCAUAAGAAAAAGCUCCGGCUACCUACGUGCCAGCAGCCGCGGUAAUACGUAGGGGGCUAGCGUUGUCCGGAAUCACUGGGGGUAAAGGGUUCGCAGGCGGAAAUGCAAGUCAGGUGUAAAAGGCAGUAGCUUAACUACUGUAAGCAUUUGAAACUGCAUAUCUUGAGAAGAGGAGAGGUAAGUGGGAUUUUUAGUGUGUCGGGGAGAUGCGUGGAUAUUAAAGAGAAUACCGGUGGCGAGGGCGACUUACUGGGCUGAUUCUGACGCUGAGGAACGAAAGCGUGGGUAGCAAACAGG
rnacentral:rRNA from 1 species